rnacentral:lncRNA from 1 species
AGACGCCGUCCGAGAAGGUUACCUUAGCCAUUGAGUUAUGGCGGGGUACUUUCUUUCCUCACAUUUUUCAAUGUCUGGUGUGAGCUUCUUCAUUGCAUUACGUGCACGUGAUCGCUGCCUCGUCAUGGAGAGGGUCUCUACUGUUUUGCAAGACAAAUAAUACGUUGAAAAGAGGAAAUUUAAAAAGGUUUCCUUGUUCAGUUUAUGAGCUGUUUAUGGUGUUGUCUGGUGUUCACUUGAAAGAUGCCUUGAGAUGGAUGAUCAACUGCUGCUGAGCCUCUUCUCACAUCAUCGUCUUUGUGGACGUGGAGAAUGGAGACGCUGUCAGAGUCCGUUAAACUUGGCCAUUGCAGGCAACUUUCUCUCUUGACAUGGGAUCAUGGCUUGUAACUUAAACUUGCAUGGUUAAUUGCUAAUGGUCUGCUGUUCAUUUUCUCCAAAAUGUCAUCUCUUGGUUUAUGUUGCACGUUUCGUCACAUUCAGUACUUUAGAAUAUCUGGUGGGGUUUAAAAGCUUCUUUAUUGCGUUACGUGUACGUGAUCGUUGCCGUUUAAUGAAGUUUCUCCAAGAGGGUCUCUACUACAUUGCAAGACGACAUCGUGAUGGAAAUAGGAAAUCUAAAAUGAAAAAGUGAUAAUUUAAAUCAUGGAAAUCUUAAGUGUAUGAUCGCCUCAACUGUUAGGUUUCCAUGGUCAGCUUGAUGUUUGAGCUGGUUUGUUGUGGCUGUUAGGUGUGCAGUGAUUUUCCAGGAGAAAUACGUUCUAAAGGGACAAAGUGCCGCAACAAGUUGACAACAUGGCAAUAUUAUCACCGAGCCUGACGCCGUCUGCUAUGGAAACUGUCAGUCACGUUUUUCGUGAUUAUUGCGGUCAGCUUCAACAUUUUCUUCACAAAUGUCUCAAAGGAUUAAUGGUUUGGUGAGGCUGAGCCUUUUAAUGGUGGUCAAAAGUCCACAUGGACUUGUUAGCCAACUGGUGAAGGGUGUGGGGAAGUGCUGCAUGUUGUCUGUGGUGUUGGUCUGAAAUAUUAUCAUUGCUUCAACUAGUUUCCAUCGUCAGUAAGAAGCUAGAAAGUGUGUUGCUCUUUGGUUUGCAGUUCAUGUUUGGGUGCUUGUGUUGCAGCCAGCUGGUGAGAGGGAGUUCAAGUUGAGUUGAGCUGAAGCUUAAUGAACCAGUCAACAAUGAUAGUGUUUAAGAAAAGUGAAAGUGUUUAAGAAAAGUUAAAGUGAACUAUCAAUGAAGACAUCUUGAAAUGGACUUGGUGACAAUGUGAUUUUCAAUCUGCUACAUGCAGUUUUUGUUUUCAAUAAGUGGAGAAGUAAGACUAGAAGCAAAGCUGCAAGAAAAGGAAAUGGUCCCGGAGGAAAUGUGCAGUCGUUUCGCAGUCUGACUCCUGUUCAAGCUGUUCCUAUCCUAGACUGUGCUGGAAUCUUUGAAGUAGCUGAUCCUGAAGGUGUUAUGUUGGAGUUUUCUUGAAGAAACUGAUGUUGGUGUUAUCUACUUACUGUGCCAGUGCAACGUGUCGAUAAAAAUAUUAUAGCCAUAUAACAUGUGAUUGUAUUAACCUUAUGCUAUAUUGUUUUCUAAUAUGGCUUGUUGCAAACUGAUGCUGGGUUAAAAGUUGUGAUUUCUGAUUUUUCCCUCACCCCAUAUUUAUAAAUAAUUCCUGUGAUGUUGAGGCUAACUUGCAACAUUUCGUUGUGCGUUGAAAUUUAUUUUUUAUACACUUUCACAAUUAUGUAUAAAAUGUUAAAAUAAAUAAAAACCAAAAUUUUAUG